rnacentral:piRNA from 1 species
UGGAUGGAUGUAAUAUCAAGCUGCCUUCUA